GGGCCCGCACAAGCGGUGGAGCAUGUGGUUUAAUUCGACGCAACGCGAAGAACCUUACCCAGGCUCGAACGGUAGCUGACAUCCUACGAAAGUAGGCUCCCGCAAGGGCAGCUAUCGAGGUGCUGCAUGGCUGUCGUCAGCUCGUGUCGUGAGAUGUUGGGUUAAGUCCCGCAACGAGCGCAACCCUUGUCUUCUGUUGCCAUCAGGUCAAGCUGGGCACUCUGAAGAGACUGCCGGUGACAAACCGGAGGAAGGUGGGGAUGACGUCAAGUCAGCAUGGCCUUUAUGUCUGGGGCCACACACGUGCUACAAUGGCAGGUACAAACCGUCGCGAGACCGCAAGGUGGAGCUAAUCGGAUAAAGCCUGUCUCAGUUCGGAUUGUCGGCUGCAACUCGCCGGCAUGAAGUUGGAAUCGCUAGUAAUCGCGGAUCAGCACGCCGCGGUGAAUACGUUCCCGGGCCUU
rnacentral:rRNA from 1 species